GGUCAUGAGUGCCAGCAACGAGCCCCGGCUAGCUGGCCGGCAACCCUCCACCGCGGUGGGGUGCCCCGGGUGAUGACCUGGUUUCCUGAUUCACACAACAGUCGGGUGACAAGCGCGGGUC
rnacentral:ncRNA from 2 species